rnacentral:tRNA from 1 species
GCGUCGGUGAUAUAACGGUUAGCAUAGCUGCCUUCCAAGCAGUUGACCCGGGUUCGACUCCCGGCCGACGCA